CAUUUUUCGGCACAACUCCACCAUCACCCUCAGAUACACAACACUGUUGACACUAUUAUUGGAACGAGUGCGGGGUAACGUUGAUUUGAAUAACAUGGCAUGGUGAUAGGCAAAUUAUAAUGUAGGUGAUAGUAAAACACCUCCUGGUAUAUUUAAAUGUUUUUCUUCAUUGAAUAAGAGUAUGGAUUUUCUCUGUCUGAUUAAAAGAAAUGUCUUCAAUAGCUAACAAAGGAUUAACAUGUGUUUUGUAUACUUGUAAUGUGAUUAGAAAAAAACAAUUACCAAGGGAAAUGGUCAUGUGUAGCUUUUUUAUUUUGUGGUAAUUAAUGGUAAACUACUGCCUUUUAGUGGCUGUUUUUUAAACUUUCACUGCCAAUUGCAAGAUUUUCCCAAGCACUUAACCCCUGGGUGUUAUUUGUCCAUUUUUUGGCUUUUUUCGUUUUUUUCUGUGUUUAAAAGGAAAAAAAGCAUAUGAAAAAAUACACUAGGGAGCUGAUAUUUCCUGCAGGAUACUAAAUCAUGUAGAAGUUCGAAAUGGCACCAUCCGGCAAUUUCUAACUUAUUGCAAACAGGCUGGGAAGAUUUGCACUAAACUCUUGUUAUUUUGCCAUUUUUUGGCUCAUUGACUCCCAUUAUAAAUCAUGAUUUUUAAUAUGCUGUAAACCUGAUGUUUUAUAAUGCAGUUUCCGUGAUUAUUGAUGCAAUCGCUUCUUUGGCGAGUCAAAAACAUGCAGAUAAAAAAAAUUUUGUGUUGACACCCAGAAGUCACUAGAUGGAGCCAUAGGCCAAUACAUGAAUUUGCUUGCGAAGCUAGCUUCAGAUCGGUCAAAAAUUAAUGCAAUAAAGACGGUUGGCUUUACAAAAAAAAUGGUGUCAAUGUUGUCUGAGCUCACUUUCAGUCUAUUUGGGCAUGCGUAUUUGCAAUUUUGCACGUUUGCACAAGACAAUAAAAAGGUACUUCCCGGAAAUGCAAAAAAAACAAAACAAAAAACCACGUGUUUAUUGUUGUCGUUUGAAUUUAAACUUUUAUUGGUUGGGUGUUUGAAUUUCUUUACUCUCAUUGGUUCUGGGCAUUUUGGGAGUCUCUGUUCUCGCGAGGAUCACCAUUUUGCAUUUCUUCCAACACAACUGUGAUCGAUGGCGGCGAGAAGUAUUUCACUGCAGGACACGAUUCGAAUGGUGUUAGAAAAUCCUGAUUCCGACGACGACGACCUUUGUUCGGACGCUUCUUUGGAGAGCCCAGAAGACAUUGAACAAAUUCUUCCGGACUUUCGAUGCCGGAGGAGGACGGCUUUGAUGACGAGGAUUAGGAAAUAGUUGACAACAUAACGAGAUGAAAGCGGGGAGCAGAAGGCGGGGGCACGGACAUGACCACGUUCAGGCGCAUGACGAAAAUGACGGCGAUCGAGGCCUGAGGCACAUACUCCUGCCGCCGGCGCGCACUCAGGUGGCCAAUGUGUGUUUUUUCACAUGCCGGACAUUUCGUCAUGCAGCGCGUUUGUGCUGUUCACGGAGAUCUACCCUCGUUUGUGCUGUUCACGGAGAUCUACCCUGAGUGGAACGUGAAGAAAAGCUACAAGCGCCGACUAUUUCUUGAGGAACUUGGCAAGGCUCUAAUUCGGCCAGAAGUCCUAAAACGGGAACCACCGCCUUCUGCCGAAGGCUUGGUUGAGCAGCGAGCUGGACCCCCGUCCAAGCGCAAACAAUGUGGCCUUUGCACAAAGCCACUUCGGGCUUCGAACAUAAUAAUAAAUAAUAAUACAUUUUAUUUAUAACGCACUUUACAUUUGAACAACAAAUCUCAAAGUGCACAUCAUGAAUUGUGUAUGUUGUUAUUAUGUUAACUGUUAUAUUGUAUGUAUGUUUUGUAAAAUUGUUAACAUAAAUUCUAUCAUCAAAUCA